GGUGAACGCUAGCUACAGGCUUAACACAUGCAAGUCGAGGGGAAACGGCAUUUAGUGCUUGCACUGAAUGGACGUCGACCGGCGCACGGGUGAGUAACGCGUAUCCAACCUACCCAUUACUGUGGGAUAACCUGCCGAAAGGCAGACUAAUACCGCAUGGUCUUCGAUGACGGCAUCAGAUUUGAAGUAAAGAUUUAUCGGUAAUGGAUGGGGAUGCGUCUGAUUAGCUUGUUGGCGGGGUAACGGCCCACCAAGGCAACGAUCAGUAGGGGUUCUGAGAGGAAGGUCCCCCACAUUGGAACUGAGACACGGUCCAAACUCCUACGGGAGGCGGCAGUGAGGAAUAUUGGUCAAUGGACGAGAGUCUGAACCAGCCAAGUAGCGUGCAGGAUGACGGCCCUAUGGGUUGUAAACUGCUUUUGUAUGGGGAUAAAGUCAAUCACGUGUGAUUGUUUGCAGGUACCAUACGAAUAAGGACCGGCUAAUUCCGUGCCAGCAGCCGCGGUAAUACGGAAGGUUCGGGCGUUAUCCGGAUUUAUUGGGUUUAAAGGGAGCGUAGGCCGGAGAUUAAGUGUGUUGUGAAAUGUAGACGCUCAACGUCUGACUUGCAGCGCAUACUGGUUUCCUUGAGUACGCACAACGUUGGCGGAAUUCGUCGUGUAGCGGUGAAAUGCUUAGAUAUGACGAAAUAAUUCCGAUUGCGAAGGGCGGCUGACGGGAGCGC
rnacentral:rRNA from 1 species